rnacentral:rRNA from 1 species
CCUACGGGUGGCAGCAGUGAGGAAUAUUGGUCAAUGGGCGCGAGCCUGAACCAGCCAAGUCGCGUGAAGGAUGACUGCCCUAUGGGUUGUAAACUUCUUUUGUAAAGGAAUAAAGUGAGGCACGUGUGCCUUUUUGUAUGUACUUUAUGAAUAAGGAUCGGCUAACUCCGUGCCAGCAGCCGCGGUAAUACGGAGGAUCCGAGCGUUAUCCGGAUUUAUUGGGUUUAAAGGGAGCGUAGAUGGGUUGUUAAGUCAGUUGUGAAAGUUUGCGGCUCAACCGUGAAAUUGCAAUUGAUACUGGAAGCCUUGAGUGCAGUUGAGGUAGGCGGAAUGCGUGGUGUAGCGGUGAAAUGCUUAGAGAUCACGAAGAACACCGAUUGCGAAGGCAGCCUACUAAGCUGCCACUGACAUUGAGGCUCGAAAGUGUGGGUAUCAAACAGGAUUAGAUACCCUGGUAGUC